CGCACACGCGGUCGCGUUUAUAUGUCUUGGCCGCGGGCCCCGCCAACCGAUCGCGCCCGGGGAGCGCAAGGAGGGCUCUUGCCGCUCCCUGCAAGUCGCUUCUUGCGGCUCUUAUUUGCGGAAGGCAGAAAGCGAAAGGUGUCGGGUCCCUCCCCGCAGAGUACACGCGGGUCCCUGCGCGGCUGCGGGGCUGACAGGAACCUCGACAGCCGGGGCAGGGUGGCGACACGGGGGAUGACAAACCGGGGAGCUUUCCUGCUCUUUCCCCUGGAGGGCUUCGGCUUAUUUCACACGGUUCCUGGAGUAGAAUAGGUGGCACUGACAUUCCCCUCUCCUUCCCCUCUCCUGCCUUCAGGCAGAGCCUCCCCGAGCAGCAGAGAGGCAGCGUCAGCUGGCCCGAGAGCAAGAGAUGUCGCUGUGACAAACCGGUGUCCCGAGCUGUGACAAACCGGUGUCCCGGGCUGUGACAAACCGGUGCCCCGGGCUGUGACAAACCGGUGUCCCGGGCUGUGACAAACCGGCGUCCCGGGGUGUGACAAACCGGUGUCCCGGGCUGUGACAAACCGGUGUCCCGGGCUGCUGAGGCACGGGUACAGCGGCAGGAUUUCCCACCGGUUUAUAGCGGACUCCUCGGUCCUGUCCCGCCAGCGGGGCACACCGGCCCCGUUUGACCCCCGAGCCUUUCCAGCAGACGAGGCUCCCACCGGCAGCAGCAGGAGCCGGGCCCACCUGAGCAGGAACCUCCCCGGCCGUGCCAGGAGCAUCUGGGGCUGCCCAAAUCCUCCCUGGGAGCAGCUGCACGCUCACAGCCCUCGGACUCGCUCCUGCCUUUCUGGCACCCGAAUGUGCUCUGUCCCGACAAUUUUAAACGCGACGUCGAUUUUCGUAACCAAGCGUGAGCCCGGGGGCCUGGCAGCUCCCGGGGAAGCCGGCCUCUCCCGUCGGGGCACCCAGGGCUUCGGUGGCCCAGGAGCGGAUUUCUCCUUCCCCUGCCCGCCUACGGGUCCCUGCUCCCCUACCCGGGACAGUCUAAUUGCGGAAAAAGGCAGUCGAAGAUGUAGAAACGUAUUUUAACCGAGAAAUAAAUUCGCUCUUCGAGGAACUAUUAUAUAUAUAUAUAUAAAUUAUAUAUUUCUAUAUGUCCCAGUUAGAACACGUUUCUGCAUCUUCGCCUAGAGCCAUAUAACAAAUCUCUUAUCUCCCGUCGUGUGCCCCAGAAGCCGCGCUGGGUGAUUUCGGUCCCAGAAAGGAGGCCCGUUUAUUCCCGCACGCCGCCCCCGGGCACAAACGAAACGGGGAAGGGAUGAGGACCAGAGGAGAGCCCCUCUCCAGGGUUCCCCUCCCCGGGCAGCCCCCGGCCGCUCCCCUGCGGUUCGAUCCGAGCAGGGCGACGCAGCAGCCGGAGCCAGCUGUGCCUCGCCGUCGGGGCCGGGGCUGCCGGGCUCCCCAGGGCCGGGGAGAGCUUCUUUCUGCCGGCCACCCAUGCUGCUCCCGGCGCUCCCCUCGCAGGCAUUUCCGCGGCGAGGGCCGCUGCAGGUGUAGCAGCACGGCCGCGUGUGUCAUCACCUCCCCAAAUGGCACAUUCCUCCCUUCUCGCUCCUAAACCGGCCGCGGGGCUCCUUGGCGGGGCUCGCUCGCUCCAAAGAACAUUUGACAUCCGAGGGUCUUGUUUGGGUUUUUUUGACAGCCCCACCAAGGGCGAUUUGGGAUGAACACCGGGGCAGAAGCUCAGGCAGCGCUGGGAGCGGCGGUCGGGCCGAGCAGCAAAGGUACUACCGGUCUUUAAGAUCGUGGAGUAUUUUUCCCCAUAACAAAGCCAGGAAAAUUCGGGUUCGUGUUAAACGCGGCGUGCGCGGAUCUGUCUCCCACCACGGCGUAUGAGAGUUAACGAAAUGUACUGCGGGAAAUAAAAUAUUCUGGCCUCAA